GUUUCUUCGGAACAUCGGUGACAGGUGGUGCAUGGUUGUCGUCAGCUCGUGUCGUGAGAUGUUGGGUUAAGUCCCGCAACGAGCGCAACCCCUAUUGUUAGUUGCCAUCAUUGAGUUGGGCACUCUAGCGAGACUGSCGGUAAUAAACCGGARGAAGGUGGGGAUGACGUCAAAUCAUCAUGCCCCUUAUGACCUGGGCUACACACGUGCUACAAUGGUUGGUACAACGAGUCGCAAGUCGGUGACGGCAAGCAAAUCUCUUAAAGCCAAUCUCAGUUCGGAUUGUAGGCUGCAACUCGCCUACAUGAAGUCGGAAUCGCUAGUAAUCGCGGAUCAGCACGCCGCGGUGAAUACGUUCCCG
rnacentral:rRNA from 1 species